rnacentral:rRNA from 1 species
GACGAAGGAUCCAAGCGUUAUCCGGAUUUAUUGGGUUUAAAGGGUGCGUAGGCGGAUCGAUAAGUCAGUGGUGAAAGCCUGUUGCUUAACAGCAGAACUGCCAUUGAUACUGUCAAUCUUGAAUAUGUUUGAUGUGGGCGGAAUAUGACAUGUAGCGGUGAAAUGCUUAGAUAUGUCAUAGAACACCGAUUGCGAAGGCAGCUCACAAAGCCAUUAUUGACGCUGAGGCACGAAAGCGUGGGGAGCAAACAGG